rnacentral:lncRNA from 1 species
GGGUCGAGUACGUAAGCCAUUGGCGAUGGUCAGUGGUCCUAGAAGACGCCCGCAUAGAAUUUCCUGUACGAGCACAAGAUCCAGCAUUCAUCCUUCGCGAUGCGAAUUUCUAACAGCAGAUUUGGCGCCCGCAUACGCAUAUAUAUGAGGACGCACGGAUGCUGGUUGGGAGAAGAACCAUCGAGGUCGUGUCCUUGUUGAGGACACGUUGGAGCAUCUGAUUGGUUAUCUAGGAUAGAAAUAUCGGGUCUACGGUGAGCAAUCAGGGCCAUGAACGUCCUAGGGAACACGAAAACCCGAUCUCUCCUCCUCCGGAACACCGGAAACGAGACGAAAGGGAAAGAUAGCUGUAUUUAGUAAAACGACCAAAACACCCUUGCCGAAAGAGAAAAACCACAUGGUACAAGGACCACCAUCAUCCAACGGCUUAGGUACGGAUCACCUUGGUGUGGGGUCCAUGAUUGGCACAGGAGGGGACAGAUGGACCGUGACGAAAGCGACACGUUGUACGAUCAAACGAGAUGGCGACACGUUUCACGAAUCGCAUCACACGGAUGAGGACGACGGGGGAAACAGGACAGCAGGUCCACCGGAGGGAUGAGUUCACAUGGAUCUCUGCGGUGCACGAGCGGGUGGAGGGGAGAUCACGUGUGGCUUGCG